GACGAACGCUGGCGGCGUGCUUAACACAUGCAAGUCGAACGGAAAGGCACUGCUUUUGUGGGGUGCUCGAGUGGCGAACGGGUGAGUAACACGCGAGUAACCUGCCCUUGACUUUGGGAUAACUUCAGGAAACUGGGGCUAAUACCGGAUAGGAGCUCCUGCUGCAUGGUGGGGGUUGGAAAGUUUCGGCGGUUGGGGAUGGACUCGCGGCCUAUCAACUUGUUGGUGGGGUAGUGGCUUACCAAGGCUUUGACGGCUAGCCGGCCUGAGUGGGUGACCGGCCACAUUGGAACGGAGAUACGGCCCAGACUCCUACGGGAGGCAGCAGUGGGGAAUAUUGCACAAUGGGCGGAAGCCUGAUGCAGCAACGCCGCGUGCGGGAUGACGGCCUUCGGGUUGUAAACCGCUUUCGGCUGUGACGGAGCGUGAGUGACGGUAAUGGGUAAAGAAGCACCGGCUAACUACGUG
rnacentral:rRNA from 1 species